UACGUAGGCAGCAAGCGUUGUUCGGAGUUACUGGGCGUAAAGGGUGUGUGGGCGGUUAUUUAAGUUUGGUGUGAAAUCUCCCGGCUCAACCGGGAGGGUGCGCCGAAUACUGAAUGACUUGGAGUGCGGGAGAGGAAAGUGGAAUUCCUGGUGUAGCGGUGAAAUGCGUAGAUAUCAGGAGGAACACCGGUGGUGUAGACGGCUUUCUGGACCGUAACUGACGCUGAGACACGAAAGCGUGGGUAGCAAACAGG
rnacentral:rRNA from 1 species